rnacentral:rRNA from 1 species
UACGUAGGGGGCAAGCGUUGUCCGGAAUUAUUGGGCGUAAAGCGCGCGCAGGCGGUCUUUUAAGUCUUGUGUUUAAUGCCGUGGCUCAACCACGGUCCGCAUGGGAAACUGGGAGACUGGAGUGCAGGAGAGGAAAGUGGAAUUCCACGUGUAGCGGUGAAAUGCGUAGAGAUUUGGAGGAACACCAGUGGCGAAGGCGACUUUCUGGUCUGUAACUGACACUGAGGCGCGAAAGCGUGGGGAGCGAACAGG